AUGACGAUAUUUGUUGGUAAUACUGUUUCAGAGGGUUGCAACGAACUUGCAACUAUGAAAAAUGUUACAGUUGCUACUGCUGGAGCUGCAACAACAAUAUCUACAAAUUCAUUGUGGGUUGUUAAGAUAAGACUCCAAACACAAGGAAUGAGGCCUAACUUUGUUCCUUACGAGAGUUUUCUUUCCGCUUUGACGAGGAUUACACACGAGAAAGGUCUACGAGGACUGUAUAGUGGCAUUGUGUCGUCAUUAGUUGGCAUAAGUCAUGUAGCUAUUCAAUUUUCAGCAUAG